ACACACUAUUCCUCGGUCAACACUUUAACAACCCAAUAAAUUUACUAAAGAUAAGAAGUUUAUUCUCAUAAAAUCAUGAUAGUACAAAGAGAACUGGAACUAGAAAAAAUUGAAAGGGACGAUCAACCGGAUAAAAAAGGAAAGGGCAAAAAAGGCAAAGGUGGAAAGGGAAAGAAACAUAGUACAAGACAAGACAAAAAAUUAUUGGAAAUGGUUCCAGCUGUAUCAUUCAGAUCAAAACAGACACAACCACAGUUACCUUGAGUCGUGUUUACACGGUCAGCCACUGAAGUGCCUUAUCCUGUUCAAUAGACAUUUUUCUUACGAUGUAUUAUAAUAUAUUAUUUCCAUUUGUUGCUUUUCUAUUAAAACUUUAAAAAAAAAACCACCUCGUUUUCAUUUCUAGCAUACUCCUCAUCAUAAACACCCGUCUUUGUAUUUCGUAUGUACAAAAAUGUCACAAUCUGUCCAGCUCUUUACAAAUUCAACAUCAGUUGUAUAUAUAACGUGCACCUACAUUUUCAAGUUGAUUCAAAGUUAAUAACGAAAGCAUACUUUUGUGACCUUGUAACUUUAAAAGUCUGAAUCGAUUAUGAUAAUAAGUUUCCAAAACCAAAAAAAAACAUCAAUGAUUUUGACCUAGAAACACUCCCAAUGGAUAGAAUACACAUAAACUGUUUUAUUAGGACUUGCAUUGGGAAGGCUGAAAACACUUUAUUUGGUGCGUGCACUGUUCAAUUCAAAUAAUGUUGGGUCAUGUUGUUAAUAUCCUACGAUUUCAACAUCGGCUAUAUCUUACACUGUUAUAAAAAAUGUGCCUGACUUUGCAUGUAAAAAGAUUAUAUACACUGCCACUUUGGGACUUUUAACAACAUUGAGUACACAUGAGGGUCUCGCCCGGUCGGUAUAUUUAGAUACACUCCCGUAAUAGUGGGAGACGAACAAAAUGCAGGUGCUUUUAUUUUUUUUAAUUUUUAUACUCUAAUAAGUUCAACGUUUUCUGUUGCCGAUCAUUUACGUGAGAAUAUUUCUCAGUUAUUAUUGUGAGAGACAUGUACAUAUAUGUCUCUUUCAUUGGUGAUAAUGCUAAUAAACGAGGUAAAAAAAUUAGAACAUUAACCUAAUUUUAUAAUGUUAUAUAAAACUGAAAGUGAUAACUUGUCAGUUUAACUAUGAUCAAUCUUAGUAAAUUUACACAUGAAGCUCUUAAUUAAUCUCAUGC